CGUACUACUUAAACAUUUGGGAAACUAA
rnacentral:piRNA from 1 species